rnacentral:rRNA from 1 species
GACGUAGGGCGCGAGCGUUGUCCGGAUUUAUUGGGCGUAAAGAGCUCGUAGGCGGCUUGUCGCGUCGAAUGUGAAAUCUCAGGGCUCAACUCUGACAUUGCAUUCGAUACGGGCAGGCUAGAGUUCGGUAGGGGAGACUGGAAUUCCUGGUGUGGCGGUGAAAUGCGCAGAUAUCAGGAGGAACACCGGUGGCGAAGGCGGGUCUCUGGGCCGAUACUGACGCUGAGGAGCGAAAGCGUGGGGAGCGAACAGG